GAUGAACGCUGGCGGCGUGCCUAAUACAUGCAAGUCGAGCGAACGGACGAGAAGCUUGCUUCUCUGAUGUUAGCGGCGGACGGGUGAGUAACACGUGGAUAACCUACCUAUAAGACUGGGAUAACUUCGGGAAACCGUAGCUAAUACCGGAUAAUAUUUUGAACCGCAUGGUUCAAAAGUGAAAGACGGUCUUGCUGUCACUUAUAGAUGGAUCCGCGCUGCAUUAGCUAGUUGGUAAGGUAACGGCUUACCAAGGCAACGAUGCAUAGCCGACCUGAGAGGGUGAUCGGCCACACUGGAACUGAGACACGGUCCAGACUCCUACGGGAGGCAGCAGUAGGGAAUCUUCCGCAAUGGGCGAAAGCCUGACGGAGCAACGCCGCGUGAGUGAUGAAGGUCUUCGGAUCGUAAAACUCUGUUAUUAGGGAAGAACAUAUGUGUAAGUAACUGUGCACAUCUUAACGGUUCCUAAUCAGAAAGCCACGGCUAACUACGUG
rnacentral:rRNA from 1 species